GGGCGAUUAGCUCAGUUGGUAGAGCGUCUCGUUUACACCGAGAAUGUCGGCGGUUCGAGUCCGUCAUCGCCCACCA
rnacentral:tRNA from 14 species